rnacentral:rRNA from 1 species
CUAAUACCGGGUAUGACCUGUGCCGGCAUCGGUGCGGGUGGAAAGCUUUUGCGGUCAGGGAUGGACUCGCGGCCUAUCAGCUUGUUGGUGGGGUGAUGGCCUACCAAGGCGACGACGGGUAGCCGGCCUGAGAGGGCGACCGGCCACACUGGGACUGAGACACGGCCCAGACUCCUACGGGAGGCAGCAGUGGGGAAUAUUGCACAAUGGGCGGAAGCCUGAUGCAGCGACGCCGCGUGAGGGAUGACGGCCUUCGGGUUGUAAACCUCUUUCGACAGGGACGAAGCGCGAGUGACGGUGCCUGGAGAAGAAGCGCCGGCCAACUACGUGCCAGCAGCCGCGGUAAGACGUAGGGCGCAAGCGUUGUCCGGAUUUAUUGGGCGUAAAGAGCUCGUAGGCGGCUUGUUGCGUCGACCGUGAAAACUUGGGGCUUAACCCCAAGCCUGCGGUUGAUACGGGCAGGCUAGAGUUCGGUAGGGGAGACUGGAAUUCCUGGUGUAGCGGUGAAAUGCGCAGAUAUCAGGAGGAACACCGGUGGCGAAGGCGGGUCUCUGGGCCGAUACUGACGCUGAGGAGCGAAAGCGUGGGGAGCGAACA